rnacentral:rRNA from 5 species
GGGUUGUGAGGUUAAGCGACUAAGCGUACACGGUGGAUGCCCUGGCAGUCAGAGGCGAUGAAGGGCGUGCUAAUCUGCGAUAAGCGCCGGUAAGGUGAUAUGAACCGUUAUAACCGGCGAUACCCGAAUGGGGAAACCCAGUGUGUUUCGACACACUAUCAUUAACUGAAUCCAUAGGUUAAUGAGGCGAACCGGGGGAACUGAAACAUCUAAGUACCCCGAGGAAAAGAAAUCAACCGAGAUUCCCCCAGUAGCGGCGAGCGAACGGGGAGGAGCCCAGAGCCUGAAUCAGCAUGUGUGUUAGUGGAAGCGUCUGGAAAGGCGCGCGAUACAGGGUGACAGCCCCGUACACAAAAGCGCAUGUGCUGUGAGCUCGAUGAGUAGGGCGGGACACGUGGUAUCCUGUCUGAAUAUGGGGGGACCAUCCUCCAAGGCUAAAUACUCCUGACUGACCGAUAGUGAACCAGUACCGUGAGGGAAAGGCGAAAAGAACCCCGGCGAGGGGAGUGAAAAAGAACCUGAAACCGUGUACGUACAAGCAGUGGGAGCACCCUUUGGGGUGUGACUGCGUACCUUUUGUAUAAUGGGUCAGCGACUUAUAUUCUGUAGCAAGGUUAACCGAAUAGGGGAGCCGGAGGGAAACCGAGUCUUAAUUGGGCGUUAAGUUGCAGGGUAUAGACCCGAAACCCGGUGAUCUAGCCAUGGGCAGGUUGAAGGUUGGGUAACACUAACUGGAGGACCGAACCGACUAAUGUUGAAAAAUUAGCGGAUGACCUGUGGCUGGGGGUGAAAGGCCAAUCAAACCGGGAGAUAGCUGGUUCUCCCCGAAAGCUAUUUAGGUAGCGCCUCGUGAAUUCAUCUCCGGGGGUAGAGCACUGUUUCGGCUAGGGGGCCAUCCCGGCUUACCAACCCGAUGCAAACUGCGAAUACCGGAGAAUGUUAUCACGGGAGACACACGGCGGGUGCUAACGUCCGUCGUGAAGAGGGAAACAACCCAGACCGCCAGCUAAGGUCCCAAAGUCAUGGUUAAGUGGGAAACGAUGUGGGAAGGCCCAGACAGCCAGGAUGUUGGCUUAGAAGCAGCCAUCAUUUAAAGAAAGCGUAAUAGCUCACUGGUCGAGUCGGCCUGCGCGGAAGAUGUAACGGGGCUAAACCAUGCACCGAAGCUGCGGCAGCGACGCUGAUGCGUUGUUGGGUAGGGGAGCGUUCUGUAAGCCUGCGAAGGUGGCCUGUGAGGGUUGCUGGAGGUAUCAGAAGUGCGAAUGCUGACAUAAGUAACGAUAAAGCGGGUGAAAAGCCCGCUCGCCGGAAGACCAAGGGUUCCUGUCCAACGUUAAUCGGGGCAGGGUGAGUCGACCCCUAAGGCGAGGCCGAAAGGCGUAGUCGAUGGGAAACGGGUUAAUAUUCCCGUACUUGGUGUUACUGCGAAGGGGGGACGGAGAAGGCUAUGUUGGCCGGGCGACGGUUGUCCCGGUUUAAGCGUGUAGGUGUGUGUUCCAGGUAAAUCCGGUUCACUUUAACACUGAGGCGUGAUGACGAGGCACUACGGUGCUGAAGCAACAAAUGCCCUGCUUCCAGGAAAAGCCUCUAAGCAUCAGGUAACAUCAAAUCGUACCCCAAACCGACACAGGUGGUCAGGUAGAGAAUACCAAGGCGCUUGAGAGAACUCGGGUGAAGGAACUAGGCAAAAUGGUGCCGUAACUUCGGGAGAAGGCACGCUGACACGUAGGUGAAGUGAUUUACUCAUGGAGCUGAAGUCAGUCGAAGAUACCAGCUGGCUGCAACUGUUUAUUAAAAACACAGCACUGUGCAAACACGAAAGUGGACGUAUACGGUGUGACGCCUGCCCGGUGCCGGAAGGUUAAUUGAUGGGGUCAGCGCAAGCGAAGCUCCUGAUCGAAGCCCCGGUAAACGGCGGCCGUAACUAUAACGGUCCUAAGGUAGCGAAAUUCCUUGUCGGGUAAGUUCCGACCUGCACGAAUGGCGUAAUGAUGGCCAGGCUGUCUCCACCCGAGACUCAGUGAAAUUGAACUCGCUGUGAAGAUGCAGUGUACCCGCGGCAAGACGGAAAGACCCCGUGAACCUUUACUAUAGCUUGACACUGAACAUUGAGCCUUGAUGUGUAGGAUAGGUGGGAGGCUUUGAAGUGUGGACGCCAGUCUGCAUGGAGCCGGCCUUGAAAUACCACCCUUUAAUGUUUGAUGUUCUAACGUGGACCCGUGAUCCGGGUUGCGGACAGUGUCUGGUGGGUAGUUUGACUGGGGCGGUCUCCUCCUAAAGAGUAACGGAGGAGCACGAAGGUUGGCUAAUCCUGGUCGGACAUCAGGAGGUUAGUGCAAUGGCAUAAGCCAGCUUGACUGCGAGCGUGACGGCGCGAGCAGGUGCGAAAGCAGGUCAUAGUGAUCCGGUGGUUCUGAAUGGAAGGGCCAUCGCUCAACGGAUAAAAGGUACUCCGGGGAUAACAGGCUGAUACCGCCCAAGAGUUCAUAUCGACGGCGGUGUUUGGCACCUCGAUGUCGGCUCAUCACAUCCUGGGGCUGAAGUAGGUCCCAAGGGUAUGGCUGUUCGCCAUUUAAAGUGGUACGCGAGCUGGGUUUAGAACGUCGUGAGACAGUUCGGUCCCUAUCUGCCGUGGGCGCUGGAGAACUGAGGGGGGCUGCUCCUAGUACGAGAGGACCGGAGUGGACGCAUCACUGGUGUUCGGGUUGUCAUGCCAAUGGCACUGCCCGGUAGCUAAAUGCGGAAGAGAUAAGUGCUGAAAGCAUCUAAGCACGAAACUUGCCCCGAGAUGAGUUCUCCCUGAGACUUAGAGUCUCCUGAAGGAACGUUGAAGACGACGACGUUGAUAGGCCGGGUGUGUAAGCGCAGCGAUGCGUUGAGCUAACCGGUACUAAUGAACCGUGAGGCUUAACCUUACAACGCCGAAG